rnacentral:rRNA from 1 species
UACGAAGGGGGCUAGCGUUGUUCGGAAUACUGGGCGUAAAGCGCACGUAGGCGGAUCGAUCAGUCAGGGGUGAAAUCCCAGGGCUCAACCCUGGAACUGCCUUUGAUACUGUCGAUCUGGAGUAUGGAAGAGGUGAGUGGAAUUCCGAGUGUAGAGGUGAAAUUCGUAGAUAUCGAGAGGAACACCAGCGGCGAAGGCGGCUCACUGGGCACCACCUGACGCUGAGGCGCGAAAGCGUGGGGAGCGAACGG